rnacentral:rRNA from 4 species
UGCCGAACUCAGAAGUGAAACGCCGUAGCGCCGAUGGUAGUGUGGGGUCUCCCCAUGCGAGAGUAGGGAACUGCCAGGCA